AAUGGGCGCAAGCCUGAUCCAGCCAUGCCGCGUGUGUGAAGAAGGUCUAGGGUUGUAAAGCACUUUAAGGGAAGAAGUUUUAUCUAUACUGACGGUACCUGCAGAAUAAGCACCGGCUAACUCCGUGCCAGCAGCCGCGGUAAUACGUAGGGGGCGAGCGUUGUCCGGAUUUAUUGGGCGUAAAGAGCUCGUAGGCGGUUCAACAAGUCGGUCGUGAAAGUUCAGGGCUCAACCCUGAAAUGCGAUCGAUACUGUUGGACUAGGAUACGGCAGAGGUGAGUGGAAUUCCGAGUGUAGCGGUGAAAUGCGUAGAUAUUCGGAGGAACACCAAUUGCGAAGGCAGCUCACUGGGCCGCUAUCGACGCUGAGGAGCGAAAGCUAGGGGAGCAAACAGGAUU
rnacentral:rRNA from 1 species